rnacentral:snRNA from 1 species
AGCUUUGCACAGUGGCAGGAUCAUGGGCAAGGAGGUUUAUUAGAGGCACGAUUAUUGCUAAUUGAAAACAAAAAUAAGGGCUCCUGGGUGGCUCAGUCAGUUAAGCGGCUGCCUUUGGCUCAGGUCAUGAUCU